rnacentral:rRNA from 1 species
AACGAACGCUGGCGGCAUGCCUAACACAUGCAAGUCGAACGAGAACUUCGGGCCAAGUGGCGAACGGGUGCGUAAGGCGUAGUAACCUGCCCUUAGGUUCGGAAUCACUCCCCAAAAGGAGUGGUAAUACCGGCUAAUGCCUCCGGACCAAAUAUUUAUAGCCUUUGGGGGGGCCCGCGUUGGAUUAGUUAGUUGGUAGGGUAAAAGACUACGAAGGCGACGAUCCAUAGCUGGACUGAGAGGAUGAUCAGCGACACUGAGACUGGGACGCGGCCCAGACUCCUACGGGAUGCAGGAGUGGCUGAUAUUGGACUAUCGGCUGAAGCCUGAUCCAGCUAGGCCUCUUGAGUGAUGAAGUCCGGAGGGUUGUAGAGCUCUUUUACACGCGAGGAUAAUGACAGUACCGUAAGAAUAAGCUCCGGCUAACUCCGUG